rnacentral:rRNA from 1 species
UCUUUUCCUUUUUUUCCAGCCGCCGCGGUAAUACGGAGGAUGCGAGCGUUAUCCGGAUUUAUUGGGUUUAAAGGGAGCGCAGACGGGUCGUUAAGUCAGCUGUGAAAGUUUGGGGCUCAACCUUAAAAUUGCAGUUGAUACUGGCGUCCUUGAGUGCGGUUGAGGUGUGCGGAAUUCGUGGUGUAGCGGUGAAAUGCUUAGAUAUCACGAAGAACUCCGAUUGCGAAGGCAGCACACUAAUCCGUAACUGACGUUCAUGCUCGAAAGUGUGGGUAUCAAACAGG